rnacentral:tRNA from 1 species
GGUUCAGUGGUCUAGUGGUAUGAUUCUCGCUUAGGGAAACACCCUGAGUAAAAUGCGAGAGGUCCCGGGUUCAAUCCCCGGCUGAACCC